rnacentral:rRNA from 1 species
UACGAAGGGGGCUAGCGUUGCUCGGAAUUACUGGGCGUAAAGCGCACGUAGGCGGCUUUCUAAGUCGGGGGUGAAAUCCUGGAGCUCAACUCCAGAACUGCCUUCGAUACUGGAGAGCUCGAGUCCGGGAGAGGUGAGUGGAACUGCGAGUGUAGAGGUGAAAUUCGUAGAUAUUCGCAAGAACACCAGUGGCGAAGGCGGCUCACUGGCCCGAUACUGACGCUGAGGCACGAAAACGUGGGGAGCAAACAGG